rnacentral:tRNA from 1 species
UAGCUCAGUGGCAAAGCACUUGCCUAGCAAAGGCAAUGUCCUGGGUUCGAUUCCCAG